rnacentral:lncRNA from 10 species
UAGGAAGUCCAAGGCCAAGGUGCCCCCAUCUGAUGAGGGCCUUCUUAAGGUGUCGUCCCAUGUAGAAAGGUAGGAGGGCAAGAGAGGGAGAGGAUGGAAGGAGAUCAAAGUCAUCCUUUCAUUAGGAGUUCAUCACCAUGAUAACAUGAUAACUAACCCACUCCCAUGAUCACUAACCCACUCUCACAAUAACUAACCCACUCUCGUGAUCACUAACUCACUCUCAUGAUAACUAACCCACUCUCAUGAUAACCAACCCACUCCCAUGACAACUAACCCACUCCCAUGAUCAUUAAUCCACUCCCAUGAUCACUAACCCACUCCCAUGAUAACUAACCCACUCUCAUGAUAUCUAACCCGCUCCCAUGACAACUAACCCACUCCCAUGAUGACUAACCCACUCCCAUGUUAUCUAACCCACUUCCAUGAUAACUAACCCACUCCCAUGAUAACCAACCCACUGUCAUGAUAAUUAACCCACUCUCAUGAUAUCUAACCCACUCCCAUGAUAACUAACCCACUCCCAUGAUAACCAACCCACUGUCAUGAUAAUUAACCCACUCUCAUGAUAUCUAACCCACUCCCCCACUCUCAUGAUAUCUAACCCACUCCCAUGUUGAAUAACCCACUCUCAUGAUAACUAACCUACUCCCAUGAUGACUAACCCACUCCCAUGAUGACUAACCCACUUCCAUGAUGACUAACCCACUCAUGAUAUCUAACCCACUCUCAUGAUAACUAACCCACUCCCAUGAUCACUAACCCACUCCCAUGAUAUCUAACCCACUCUCAUGAUAAUUAACCCCCUCCCAUGAUCACUAACCCACUCUCAUGAUAACUAACCCACUCCCA